UACGGAGGAUCCUAGUGUUAUCCGGAUUUAUUGGGUUUAAAGGGAGCGUAGGCGGGAGGUCAAGUCAGCUGUGAAAUGUUAUCUGCUUAACGGGUACACUGCAGUUGAAACUGGUUUUCUUGAGUGCGUAAGAGGCAGGCGGAGUUCGUUGUGUAGCGGUGAAAUGCUUAGAUAUGACGAGGAACUCCUAUUGCGAAGGCAGCUUGCUGGGUCGUUACUGACGCUGAUGCUCGAAGGUGCGGGGAUCAAACAGGAUUAGAUACCCU
rnacentral:rRNA from 1 species